rnacentral:tRNA from 1 species
AGGAAUUUAGGAUAUUACCAAACCGUAGACCUUCAAAGUCUAAAAAAAAGGUGCAAACCCUCUAAUUCCUG